AUGAUAGGUCUUAUUUGGAAUAUCAAAGGACUAAGUAAGCCUGGUAAAGUUCAGUGCCUUUGUGAUGUGAUUGCUAAAGUUAACCCUGAUUUUAUUGGUUUCCAAGAGACUAAGAAGGAAAGUAUAUCUGAGGGUUUCCUUAAAGCUCUGGAUAGUAAGCAGCUCUUUAGCUGGCAUUUUCUCCCAGCUAUAAGGACUGCUGGAGGUAUCUUAGUUGGCUUGAAAUAUGAGCUCUUUGAGGUGAUUGGGUUUACUAAUAAUAGAUUCUCUGUUAAGGCUAUUAUCAAGAAUAAGUGGGAUGGUUUUUUAUGGCAUCUAGUCAUAGUUUAUGGGUAUGCUUACCCUGAAUUCAAGGGGCAAAAAUGGCGAAGCAUUCGCUGCAUCAUGGACCUGGUGGGAGGGCUGGUGAGGCAAUGGAAGAUUUUGUGCUCCGACACUCAGGAUGUGCUUCUUCUUCGAUGUUUAAGGCUUUUGGAUCGGCGAAGAGGGGAGCUGCUUAGAAUAGCCUGGGUUAUGUGA
rnacentral:rRNA from 1 species